GAAACGGCAAACCGCGUGAAAGCGCGGGACGCAAAGCUAUAGGGGCUUCGUGAGACGACAACUCUCACAUGCCAGCCAGUUCCCGA
rnacentral:ncRNA from 1 species